rnacentral:lncRNA from 1 species
CUUUGAGUCAGAUAGAUGAAAGUAGCGGCCAAAACCAACCACCACAAAACUACCACAGCCCUUAAAAUGUCACAUCAACACACUGAGCUUCUUAAACUACAUAACAUCCCAAAUUUCUGUGGCAGAAUAACAUUGUCUUCAUGUUUCUGUCCCCCAGAGGGUUUCAUCUCCACUUCUACAUUCCUGUCACUGCUCGACAGAUGUUGAAUGUGGAUCUGCUGCUUUGGGUAUGUUUCAGUAAGAAUGAGCCUACACUUCGCUUUGAGAAUAUUUCAGACUUCCUGAAGAAACUAUGAAAAGAUUUGUGACAGAAAAUACAGGUCUUCAAAGAUUUCUCGUAUUGACAGAGGUGUUUGAGAGGAAUAAAGCAUGCACAAAUUAUCUGGGUUCUUCAAAUUCAGGUAUCUUGGGUGAACAGGAGGUCUCCUGCCACAGGAAGAGCAGUGACAAAAUGAGAAGAGUGAAAAUGAGCAAAUUAAAGACCGUAGCUGGGAUGUUUACAGCAGCAACAUGGUGAACAAACAGAUAAGGUAAUUUUACCCCUUCUGUUAGUUACCAAAGCAACACUAUAAAGAUCCUUUU